GAUGAACGCUGGCGGCGUGCCUAAUACAUGCAAGUCGAGCGAACGGACGAGAAGCUUGCUUUUCUGAUGUUAGCGGCGGACGGGUGAGUAACACGUGGAUAACCUACCUAUAAGACUGGGAUAACUUCGAGAAACCGGAGCUAAUACCGGAUAAUAUUUUGAACCGCAUGGUUCAAAAGUGAAAGACGGUCUUGCUGUCACUUAUAGAUGGAUCCGCGCUGCAUUAGCUAGUUGGUAAGGUAACGGCUUACCAAGGCAACGAUGCAUAGACGACAUGAGAGAGUGAUAGGCCACACGUGAACUGAGACACGGUCACGACUACUACGAGACGCAGCAGAAGGCAAUCUUCCGCAAUGGGAGAAAGCAUGACGGAGAAAAGCAGCGUGAGUGAUAAAGGUCCCGGGAUCGUAAACCUCUGUUCUUAGGGAAGAACCUAUGUGUAAGUAACUGUGAACUUCUUGACGGUACGUAGUCAGAAAGCAACGGCUAACUCCGUG
rnacentral:rRNA from 1 species